rnacentral:rRNA from 1 species
GAUGAACGCUGGCGGCGUGCCUAAUACAUGCAAGUCGAGCGAACAGACGAGGAGCUUGCUCCUCUGACGUUAGCGGCGGACGGGUGAGUAACACGUGGAUAACCUACCUAUAAGACUGGGAUAACUUCGGGAAACCGGAGCUAAUACCGGAUAAUAUAUUGAACCGCAUGGUUCAAUAGUGAAAGACGGUUUUGCUGUCACUUAUAGAUGGAUCCGCGCCGCAUUAGGUAGUUGGUAAGGUAACGGCUUACCAAGGCAACGAUGCGUAGCCGACCUGAGAGGGUGAUCGGCCACACGGGAACUGAGACACGGUCCAGACUCCUACGGGAGGCAGCAGUAGGGAAUCUUCCGCAAUGGGCGAAAGCCUGACGGAGCAACGCCGCGUGAGUGAUGAAGGUCUUCGGAUCGUAAAACUCUGUUAUUAGGGAAGAACAAAUGUGUAAGUAACUAUGCACGUCUUGACGGUACCUAAUCAGAAAGCCACGGCUAACUACGUG